AAGGAACUUUGUCAAGGAUAUAAAAGUAACCAUAUAUCAAAGUUGAAGUGCAGUUCUGGAUAUGGAUGAAAAGCAUCUGAUCUUACCAUUAUAUGUACCUUAUUACAUAUGAUAAACAAGAGAAUUGGGACCCAUCCAACUUGAAUCAGGGAAAAUGAAAACUUG